rnacentral:rRNA from 1 species
GACGAACGCUGGCGGCGUGCUUAACACAUGCAAGUCGAACGGAAAGGCCCUGCUCUUGUGGGGUGCUCGAGUGGCGAACGGGUGAGUAACACGUGAGUAACCUGCCCUUGACUUUGGGAUAACUUCAGGAAACUGGGGCUAAUAUCGGAUAGGAGCUCCUGCUGCAUGGUGGGGGUUGGAAAGUUUCGGCGGUUGGGGAUGGACUCGCGGCUUAUCCGCUUGUUGGUGGGGUAGUGGCUUACCAAGGCUUUGACGGGUAGCCGGCCUGAGAGGGUGACCGGCCACAUUGGGACUGAGAUACGGCCCAGACGCCUACGGGAGGCAGCAGUGGGGAAUAUUGCGCAAUGGGCGGAAGCCUGAUGCAGCAACGCCGCGUGCGGGAUGACGGCCUUCGGGUUGUAAACCGCUUUCGCCUGUGACGAAGCGUGAGUGACGGUAAUGGGUAAAGAAGCACCGGCUAACUACGUG